rnacentral:rRNA from 1 species
UGGGGAAUUUUGGACAAUGGGCGAAAGCCUGAUCCAGCAAUGCCGCGUGUGUGAAGAAGGCCUUCGGGUUGUAAAGCACUUUUGUCCGGAAAGAAAUCCUUGGCUCUAAUACAGUCGGGGGAUGACGGUACCGGAAGAAUAAGCACCGGCUAACUACGUGCCAGCAGCCGCGGUAAUACGUAGGGUGCAAGCGUUAAUCGGAAUUACUGGGCGUAAAGCGUGCGCAGGCGGUUUGCUAAGACCGAUGUGAAAUCCCCGGGCUCAACCUGGGAACUGCAUUGGUGACUGGCAGGCUAGAGUAUGGCAGAGGGGGGUAGAAUUCCACGUGUAGCAGUGAAAUGCGUAGAGAUGUGGAGGAAUACCGAUGGCGAAGGCAGCCCCCUGGGCAAGUACUGACGCUCAUGCACGAAAGCGUGGGGAGCAAACNGGAUUAAUACCCUGGUAGUCCACGCCCUAAANGAUGUCAACUAGUUGUUGGGGGAUUCAUUUCCUUAGUAACGUAGCUAACGCGUGAAGUUGACCGCCUGGGGAGUACGGUCGCAAGAUUAAAACUCAAAUAAUUGACGGGGUCAUGCU